UACGGGGGGGCAAGCGUUGUUCGGAAUUACUGGGCGUAAAGGGCUCGUAGGCGGCCAACUAAGUCAGACGUGAAAUCCCUCGGCUUAACCGGGGAACUGCAUCUGAUACUGGAUGGCUUGAGUUCGGGAGAGGGAUGCGGAAUUCCAGGUGUAGCGGUGAAAUGCGUAGAUAUCUGGAGGAACACCGGUGGCGAAGGCGGCAUCCUGGACCGGCACUGACG
rnacentral:rRNA from 1 species